rnacentral:snRNA from 1 species
AUCUCUUUGCCUUUUGGCUUAGAUCAUGUGUAGUAUCUGUUCUUUUCAGUGUAACAGCUGAAAUAACUUCUUCGGAAGUUAUCUUAUUAGUUACAAUUUAUUUUUGGCAAUUCUGAAGACGUUAGAUCGUCU